rnacentral:rRNA from 1 species
UUAAGCGACUAAGCGUACACGGUGGAUGCCCUGGCAGUCAGAGGCGAUGAAGGACGUGCUAAUCUGCGAUAAGCGUCGGUAAGGUGAUAUGAACCGUUAUAACCGGCGAUUUCCGAAUGGGGAAACCCAGUGUGAUUCGUCACACUAUCAUUAACUGAAUCCAUAGGUUAAUGAGGCGAACCGGGGGAACUGAAACAUCUAAGUACCCCGAGGAAAAGAAAUCAACCGAGAUUCCCCCAGUAGCGGCGAGCGAACGGGGAGCAGCCCAGAGCCUGAAUCAGUGUGUGUGUUAGUGGAAGCGUCUGGAAAGGCGCGCGAUACAGGGUGACAGCCCCGUACACAAAAAUGCACAUGCUGUGAGCUCGAUGAGUAGGGCGGGACACGUGGUAUCCUGUCUGAAUAUGGGGGGACCAUCCUCCAAGGCUAAAUACUCCUGACUGACCGAUAGUGAACCAGUACCGUGAGGGAAAGGCGAAAAGAACCCCGGCGAGGGGAGUGAAAAAGAACCUGAAACCGUGUACGUACAAGCAGUGGGAGCACAGAGCAAUCUGUGUGACUGCGUACCUUUUGUAUAAUGGGUCAGCGACUUAUAUUCUGUAGCAAGGUUAACCGAAUAGGGGAGCCGAAGGGAAACCGAGUCUUAACUGGGCGUUAAGUUGCAGGGUAUAGACCCGAAACCCGGUGAUCUAGCCAUGGGCAGGUUGAAGGUUGGGUAACACUAACUGGAGGACCGAACCGACUAAUGUUGAAAAAUUAGCGGAUGACUUGUGGCUGGGGGUGAAAGGCCAAUCAAACCGGGAGAUAGCUGGUUCUCCCCGAAAGCUAUUUAGGUAGCGCCUCGUGAAUUCAUCUCCGGGGGUAGAGCACUGUUUCGGCAAGGGGGUCAUCCCGACUUACCAACCCGAUGCAAACUGCGAAUACCGGAGAAUGUUAUCACGGGAGACACACGGCGGGUGCUAACGUCCGUCGUGAAGAGGGAAACAACCCAGACCGCCAGCUAAGGUCCCAAAGUCAUGGUUAAGUGGGAAACGAUGUGGGAAGGCCCAGACAGCCAGGAUGUUGGCUUAGAAGCAGCCAUCAUUUAAAGAAAGCGUAAUAGCUCACUGGUCGAGUCGGCCUGCGCGGAAGAUGUAACGGGGCUAAACCAUGCACCGAAGCUGCGGCAGCGACGCUUAUGCGUUGUUGGGUAGGGGAGCGUUCUGUAAGCCUGUGAAGGUGUACUGUGAGGCAUGCUGGAGGUAUCAGAAGUGCGAAUGCUGACAUAAGUAACGAUAAAGCGGGUGAAAAGCCCGCUCGCCGGAAGACCAAGGGUUCCUGUCCAACGUUAAUCGGGGCAGGGUGAGUCGACCCCUAAGGCGAGGCCGAAAGGCGUAGUCGAUGGGAAACAGGUUAAUAUUCCUGUACUUGGUGUUACUGCGAAGGGGGGACGGAGAAGGCUAUGUUGGCCGGGCGACGGUUGUCCCGGUUUAAGCGUGUAGGCUGGUUUUCCAGGCAAAUCCGGAAAAUCAAGGCUGAGGCGUGAUGACGAGGCACUACGGUGCUGAAGCAACAAAUGCCCUGCUUCCAGGAAAAGCCUCUAAGCAUCAGGUAACAUCAAAUCGUACCCCAAACCGACACAGGUGGUCAGGUAGAGAAUACCAAGGCGCUUGAGAGAACUCGGGUGAAGGAACUAGGCAAAAUGGUGCCGUAACUUCGGGAGAAGGCACGCUGAUAUGUAGGUGAAGCGACUUGCUCGUGGAGCUGAAAUCAGUCGAAGAUACCAGCUGGCUGCAACUGUUUAUUAAAAACACAGCACUGUGCAAACACGAAAGUGGACGUAUACGGUGUGACGCCUGCCCGGUGCCGGAAGGUUAAUUGAUGGGGUCAGCGCAAGCGAAGCUCUUGAUCGAAGCCCCGGUAAACGGCGGCCGUAACUAUAACGGUCCUAAGGUAGCGAAAUUCCUUGUCGGGUAAGUUCCGACCUGCACGAAUGGCGUAAUGAUGGCCAGGCUGUCUCCACCCGAGACUCAGUGAAAUUGAACUCGCUGUGAAGAUGCAGUGUACCCGCGGCAAGACGGAAAGACCCCGUGAACCUUUACUAUAGCUUGACACUGAACAUUGAGCCUUGAUGUGUAGGAUAGGUGGGAGGCUUUGAAGUGUGGACGCCAGUCUGCAUGGAGCCGACCUUGAAAUACCACCCUUUAAUGUUUGAUGUUCUAACGUUGACCCGUAAUCCGGGUUGCGGACAGUGUCUGGUGGGUAGUUUGACUGGGGCGGUCUCCUCCUAAAGAGUAACGGAGGAGCACGAAGGUUGGCUAAUCCUGGUCGGACAUCAGGAGGUUAGUGCAAUGGCAUAAGCCAGCUUGACUGCGAGCGUGACGGCGCGAGCAGGUGCGAAAGCAGGUCAUAGUGAUCCGGUGGUUCUGAAUGGAAGGGCCAUCGCUCAACGGAUAAAAGGUACUCCGGGGAUAACAGGCUGAUACCGCCCAAGAGUUCAUAUCGACGGCGGUGUUUGGCACCUCGAUGUCGGCUCAUCACAUCCUGGGGCUGAAGUAGGUCCCAAGGGUAUGGCUGUUCGCCAUUUAAAGUGGUACGCGAGCUGGGUUUAGAACGUCGUGAGACAGUUCGGUCCCUAUCUGCCGUGGGCGCUGGAGAACUGAGGGGGGCUGCUCCUAGUACGAGAGGACCGGAGUGGACGCAUCACUGGUGUUCGGGUUGUCAUGCCAAUGGCACUGCCCGGUAGCUAAAUGCGGAAGAGAUAAGUGCUGAAAGCAUCUAAGCACGAAACUUGCCCCGAGAUGAGUUCUCCCUGACUCCUUGAGAGUCCUGAAGGAACGUUGAAGACGACGACGUUGAUAGGCCGGGUGUGUAAGCGCAGCGAUGCGUUGAGCUAACCGGUACUAAUGAACCGUGAGGCUUAACCU